rnacentral:pre_miRNA from 1 species
AUUUCCUACCCACAGUAAGCUUAUAGUCUAGAGAUGAGUUUAGUGUCUGUUUUCCCGCUCUAGACUGUAAGCUUCUUAUGGGCAGGGAAU